UACGUAGGGGGCUAGCGUUGUCCGGAAUCAUUGGGCGUAAAGCGCGUGUAGGCGGUCCGGUAAGUCCGCUGUGAAAGUCGAGGGCUCAACCCUCGAAUGCCGGUGGAUACUGUCGGGCUUGAGUACGGGAGAGGCGAGUGGAAUUCCUGGUGUAGCGGUGAAAUGCGCAGAUAUCAGGAGGAACACCGAUUGCGAAGGCAGCUCGCUGGAACGUUACUGACACUGAGGCGCGAAAGCGUGGGGAGCGAACAGG
rnacentral:rRNA from 1 species